GAAUACAUUAGCAUGGAUAAUGAAUAGGACGUUUGAUUCUAUUUUGUUGGUUUCUUAGGAUCGACGUAAUGAUUAAUAGGGAUAGUUGGGGGCAUUAGUAUUCAAUUGUCAGAGGUGAAAUUCUUGGAUUUAUUGAAGACUAACUACUGCGAAAAGCAUUUGCCAAGGAUGUUUUCAUUAAUCAAGAACGAAAGUUAGGGGAUCGAAGACGAUCAGAUACCGUCGUAGUCUUAACCAUAAACUAUGCCGACUAGGGAUCGGAUGAUGUUAAUUUUUUAAUGACUCAUUCGGCGCCUUACG
rnacentral:rRNA from 1 species